rnacentral:rRNA from 1 species
UAAGGAAUAUUGGUCAAUGGGCGCAAGCCUGAACCAGCCAUGCCGCGUGCAGGAAGACGGCCUUAUGGGUUGUAAACUGCUUUUAAACGGGAUUAAACCUCACUACGAGUAGUGAGCUGAAAGUACUGUUAGAAUAAGGAUCGGCUAACUCCGUGCCAGCAGCCGCGGUAAUACGGAGGAUCCAAGCGUUAUCCGGAUUUAUUGGGUUUAAAGGGUGCGUAGGCGGUUAAAUAAGUCAGAGGUGAAAACUAGCAGCUCAACUGUAAGCGUGCCUUUGAUACUGUUUAGCUAGAAUGAACUUGAGGUAGGCGGAAUGUGACAAGUAGCGGUGAAAUGCAUAGAUAUGUUACAGAACACCAAUUGCGUAGGCAGCUUACUAAGGUUUAAUUGACGCUGAGGC